AGAACGAACGCUGGCGGCAGGCUUAACACAUGCAAGUCGAGCGCCUGUAGCAAUACAGGAGCGGCAGACGGGUGAGUAACACGUGGGAACGUGCCCAAAGGUACGGAACAACUCCGGGAAACUGGAGCUAAUACCGUAUGUGCCCGAGAGGGGAAAGAUUUAUCGCCUUUGGAUCGGCCCGCGUCUGAUUAGCUAGUUGGUGGGUAACGGCCUACCAAGGCGACGAUCAGUAGCU
rnacentral:rRNA from 1 species